rnacentral:ribozyme from 13 species
AAGAUUUUAUUUCUGUGAACUCUGCGAACAAUUGUUCGCGAACACGAAAAGAGGAAUGGGAGGAGAAGAAAGAUGGGGUGGACUUUACAAUUACAAACAAGCGCGGUUUGAAUUUUGAUUUUCUUUUCUCUUUCUUUCA